rnacentral:misc_RNA from 1 species
GGUCUGCUGCCUUGAUAAACCAGGAUUUGCCAAGUCCUAGCUUGGGCGCUAACUCGACCUCAAUAGUCGGAUGUGUCUUUGGCAUUCGAAGCCGACUCCCAUAUGUUAUCAGGACCCCAAGCAUCUUACCAAAUCAAAGCGUUGGCAUCAUCUCCUAUGUUAUGAUGAGCGCUUUUCAAAAGAAGCUCAUGGCCUGGCAAUAAAUUCCAAAUGCAACAACUGUUUCUAACCUUUUGAACCUGAAAGAAAGUAGAGGCUAGAAAAUACAAUCCAUUUAUAAGCAGCUAUUUAGAU